rnacentral:tRNA from 1 species
GCCGGUUUGGCUCAGUGGAUAGAGCAUUGGCCUGUGAAUCAAAGGGUCUGGGUUCGAUUCCAGUAAGGGCU